CGGAACCCUCACUUUGUCUCUCUAAGUAUCUUCAAUGGCUCUACGGAGUUACCGGACUUCAUUUUCCGAUUAUCGGAGAAUGAGUCAUUCAGCCACGUCAUUUCGUGUCACCUUUAAGUUGUUAGCCAUUUCUCUCAGUGUUGCGUUUUUCGUGUUGUUAUCUCUCUCUUUUCUCUACACAUCAUCUAACGAUCCUUCCGAUCACCGCCACGGUUUCUCGAAUGAUUUGUAUGGAGUUGGAUCAAAACGUAGGUCCAUUUUAGGCUUGAAAUCGGAUCCUUUGAAGCCAAGGCUUGAACACAUUAGGAAACAAGCAGAUGAUCACCGCGCUUUAGCUAUGGGCUAUGCUUCCUAUGCUAGAAAGAUGAAGCUCGAAAACUCGAAACUUGUCAGAGUGUUCGCGGAGUUAUCUGGUAACUUAACAGAUCUCAUCACAAAACCUCCAUACAGUGCGUUGUUUGAGUCAGAUGGCAAGCCCAUUGACGAGUCAGUGCUUAGGCGGUUUGAGAAGCACGUGAAGGAACGAAUAAAAGUAACGAGACAAGUUGUUGUAGAGGCAAAAGAGUCUUUUGAUAAUCAAUUAAAGAUUCAAAAGCUUAAAGACACUAUUUUUGCAAUCAAUGAGCAAUUAACCAAGGCAAAGAAGCAAGGUGCUUUUUCUAGCUUGAUAGCUGCAAAGUCUAUUCCAAAAAGCGUGCAUUGUUUGGCAAUGAAGUUAAUGGAAGAACGAAUUGCAUGUCCGGAGAAGUAUGUAGAUGAUGGGAAACCUACUCCUUCGGAGUUUGAGGAUCCUAAGCUUUAUCAUUAUGCAAUUUUCUCUGAUAAUGUGCUUGCUGCUUCAGUUGUGGUGAACUCAGCCGUAAAGAACUCGAAAGACCCGUCACAGCACGUGUUUCAUGUUGUGACUGAUAAGAUGAAUCUUGGGGCUAUGCAAGUUAUGUUCAGGAUGAAAGAUUACAGCGGAGCUCACAUUGAAGUGAAGGCUGUUGAAGAUUAUGAGUUCUUGAACUCCUCUUAUGUCCCAGUACUUAAGCAACUUGAAUCUGCAAAAAUGCAGCAGUUCUACUUUAAUAAUCAGCUUGAGAAUGCAACCAAGGAUACCAAUAAUAUGAAAUUCAGGAACCCCAAGUAUCUGUCAAUAUUGAACCACCUUAGGUUCUACUUGCCCGAAAUGUACCCCAAGUUGCACAGGAUUUUGUUCUUGGAUGAUGAUAUAGUUGUUCAGAGAGAUUUGACAGGCCUCUGGAAGAUAGAUAUGGAUGGUAAGGUGAAUGGAGCUGUAGAGACGUGUUUUGGUUCAUUCCAUCGAUAUGCACAAUACAUGAAUUUCUCACACCCAUUGAUCAAAAAGAAGUUUAAUCCCAAGGCAUGUGCAUGGGCUUAUGGAAUGAACUUCUUUGACUUAGAUGCUUGGAGGAGGGAGAAGUCCACUGAAGAAUACCAUUACUGGCAGAGCAUGAAUGAAAAUCGGACAUUAUGGAAAUUGGGAACAUUGCCUCCAGGUUUGAUCACAUUUUAUUCCACAACAAAACCACUUGAUAAGUCUUGGCAUGUUUUGGGGCUUGGCUAUAAUCCAAGCAUCAGCAUGGAUGAGAUCAACAAUGCUGCAGUGGUCCACUUCAAUGGGAAUAUGAAACCAUGGCUUGAUAUUGCAAUGAGCCAAUUUCGGCCUCUUUGGUCCAAGUAUGUUGACAAAGAAAAUGAGUACGUGCAGGCAUGUAAUUUCAAUUUUGGUGAUGGUUGAAAUUAGGCUUGAUGGAGUUAACAAGCUAGUCCUACAAGCAUUUCCUGUUUGGCUUGUCGCCUCUCCCUCACACGUAAAUGUACACCAGAAGCUCUCUUCCCAUUUAAUAUCACAACAGAGAAGUUCCGGGUAUAAUUACUAUUUAGGUCCAAAACACUGUAAUCUACUUUUCAAAAAGUUCGGAGUUAUUUUCUCAAGCUAAAGGACACUUGAGAAGGUAUUGUUUUCAUACUGGAGUUUGUCAUAGCACCACCCAAACAUGGCAAAGAGCACUGUGGUUGUCUGUAUUUACUACGAUUUGGUUUUAUAAAACAGAAAAGGGCCAAAAUUACCCCUGAACUUUCAUAAAUUGUUCACUGGUGCCCUUCGUUAUAGUAUUUGGCUACUCAUGUCACUAUCGUUAUACUUUGGGGCAAAUAUGCCCUCAUGUGUAACGGCUUGCCACAUGUCACCUUCCCAAUGGUCAACCCAUUUUCCCCCAUUAUAAUUCUACCCGGAUUAAUUAUUACACCGGAUCCGACCCGAGCCGACCCGACCUAACAUUUAAUUCACCCAACCCUUAACCUAAACAACCCAUUACUCUCUCUCUCUCUCUCUCUACACAACUCAUCGUCGACCUAACCCACAACCACCUUCAAAACACUCCAUUGUUCUUUCAGGUAUUGAAUUCGAGGGAUGGAAAAUAUAUUUGCGAAGAAGUAAAAAAUCAUUGACACCAUAAAGAAAUUCACUCAAGACCCAUGAGGGUAAGCUUUGAGCAAUACAAGUUUAGUUAUCCUUUUCCAUCUUUUGUCCCCUCUGCAUAUGCUAAUUUUUUGUUGAAUUUUUUAACAACAUUUCUUUUAGUUGUAUUCCAGAAAAAUGCAAGAAAAAAAUUAAAGCAA